GAGUUGCUCCUGAAGUGUUUUGUGUUUUCAGCUCAGUUGGAUCAACUCUCCUCCGUUGAGUCCAGACUGACAGACGGACUGAACAGCACCACAGGUUCAGAUUGAUUCCCUUCACAGUUUGUACAACACACUUGAUGAUGAUUAUUGAUAAAUCUGAUAGUUACUGUUUCCUGUUCAGCUCUGCAGCUCCGACUGAGCAUCUGUGAGAAACAGCUGGAACACCUGGAGACAGAGAACACAGGUUUUGGCCUCAGGCUGAAUCAGACUGACGAUCGUCUGCAGGAGCUCACAGACACAAACUCAGGUUUGGACUUUAAGACUUCGGUGCAACUCAAGAAAGAAAUCUGUCAACAUUUAUUUUCAGUCGUGAGAUUGGUUUGUUUUAUUGUUCGAACAUCUGCCGACGAAAAAAUCUUCAUCCUCCUGUUUUUCAAUGCUUAUUGUACGGA
rnacentral:lncRNA from 1 species